GCAGUGGUUCUAACCUGGGGGAGGGGAGAGACGGGUGUGUGUGUGGGGGGGGAGUGUUGAUUUUGCCUCCCAGGGGACAUUUAGCAAUGUCUGGAGACAUUUUGAUCUUCGUGCUUCUGGCAGUUAGCGCCCAGAUGCUGUUAAGUACCCCACAAUUAACAGGACAGCCCCCAACAAAGAAAGAUCCACCCCCACAUGUCAAUAAUAGUGCAAGAAAUCCUGCUCUAGGGUAAUGGCAACGCCCUACAUCUUGAUUGGCUACAUGGGUGUCAAACAUAUUGGUCAAAACCCCCCAAGCUAUUUUGCUUUAAGUAAUUAUACCCCAAUUUAGAAAGACACUGAACAAAAGCAAAUCUUUUAGGGCAGCCCUACAAAUCCUGCGCUAACCACAGUGCCCUCUGGGGUUGAGAAGAGAUCUUAACCAGGAAGAGCCCAUCAAUACCCUGGCGAUGAGAAACCUGACGCACAAUGAAUGGGUAACCAAUAUAUGGGACACUUUCCCCAAGAAGUUUAGAACAUACCGAUAGAGUUUUUAGUAAUUUUAAAAACAUUUCAGAAAUAGGUCUAUGGAAGAGCAUACGAAGCUAGGAAGAGAGAACUUUUUAAGAAAACAUCAGGGCACCAACAGACCUUGCCACAGACCACGCCUCAGUGCAACAGUCAGGGAAGUGUUCAUAAAAGGUAACAAUCCCAUUAGACUGUGUAUAGCUGGAGCAUUUAUUCCACAAGUGUCUUCAUAGAUCAUAAAUUAAUAAGUUAAUUGUCACAGCAACUCUCCAAGAUACAGAAGGUGUUAAUCUUGCCACGAAUAAGCUGCAUCUUAAGAGUUUAGAUGCUGUGCUGAAGUCACCCACUCCCGGGGGUGGUCAUGGAUGGAGGAAACACAGAGCAGGGACUGAAUGGGGCCAGGGCCACAUGCAGCCCGCAACCUGAGCCUCCCGUUCCACGCCUGGACCUCACUCUGGGUACCUGGGAAUCCAAGUUCUUUGUCCAGUGACCCCCCAAGCCCACUUCUGUGGCCAGGAUGAGUCUCUUCCCUGGGUCUGUUGUCCUGCAAAUAGACCACCCCACCAGUGUGAACAUGCCGUGUUCACAGGGCAAGAGAGGAAGGUACAGUGAAAGCUUGGGUUUGUGGCUGGGUCAUUCACAUGCAAAGUUGUCCCUGUGCCUUUGUUCUCAGCAAGCACAAGCUUCUACCUAAACAGUCCCUCACGGAGUAAAGAGCCCCUGUCUCAGCUCUUUGGGUAGAUGUGUGCUGGCCAAAGGCGCAAUUACCCCUUCACGCUUCCUCAAUGGGAAUUUUUUCUUCUGUGGUUACAAUGUCACGGCCCUGACCCAUUGCAGUUCAGGUUAGAUUUAUGCGGCCAAAUCCAUUUUGGUGUCAAGUUUGAAAACAAAGCUACGCUUUCUUGGGGCACCUGGGUGGCUCAGUUGAGCGUCCAAUUCUCUGAGUUUGUCUCAGGUCAUGAUCUCACGCCUAUUGAGAUGGAGCCCUACAUGGGGCUCUGCACUGACAGCCUGGAGCCUGCUUGGGAUUCUCUCUCUCUCCCUCUCUGUGCCCCUCCCCUGCACUCUUUAAAUAAAUAAACAUUAAAUUUUUAAAAAUUAGAAACUGCUUUCUCAAACUGACUCACAUUUUGGAAUUGCAUAUAUGGGACCUCAGGCCUAUACUAGGAGUUUCAUUGAGAUCUCUUACUGCAUCCCCCCCCCCCCCCGCCGCCCCCCUGCAGACUCAUGGCCCAAGCAAGCUGUUUCUUUAAGGAAGUGAAAUGGCCGGCAAAUUCCUCCUCGAUCCAGGAAUAUCGUUGCAGCAGAAAUUCCUCGAAGUUUCCAGAAUGUGGAUGCCACACUAGAGCGCUGAGGUAGCUUCUGUUUUAUUUUCCAGCGGAAAUCAAGGAGGGGAGAAAUGUGUUUUCUCAGUGUGCUCUCUUAACCCAAAAGUCCUGCUUUUGACAUAUAACCCUGGAAGCGGGGUCAGGGAGGUCAAGAGCCGUGCACUUUCCAGUAAGGUGUCCUGUUUUGCUAAUCAAGGUCUUUACUACUAUGAGCAAGUACUAAGUUCUUUCACAGGUAUUUACUGCAGUGUCUGCCAGUGUGUGCAUGUGUGUGUGUUCUGCUUCAUGUUUCAUGGCAUCAUUUCAAAUACCCCCUUCAAUAUGCAAACCGUCUAUAAGCUGCUGUUGUGUGUUUUACCAUAUAGCUGGCCUCGUUUAUGUGUUAGGAACAUUUUAUCCAUUAAUUUAUACCAACCAAUUAUCUAUAGACCCAAGUACUACAAGCCCUUGCUUUGGCAAUUUGGAAAUCAACACAUAAGUUCUUCUGGCUUUAGGGGACAAAACACUCUAGUUCACCACUGUGUCCGUCAGAUUGGAAAUGUCUCACCUAGAGCAGCAAAGUUGUCAAAGAACUCUAAUGCGGGAAACAGACAUGUAGGGAAAAUAAAAAUUUCUUGUGUAUCUUCCUUGGUCCGUCAUAAGAACCAAAUUUUGAAUAUUUAUUGGUAUGUCCAACGGAAACAAUGGUCUGGAGCAUACCUCGACUCAACUAGUUGUGGAAGGUUUAAUCCUCUGUAGACCAGUGUGAAAGAGGUGACCAAGGAAGCCAGAUUAGAAUGAGCCCCAUUCGGCACCCGGGUGGCUCAGUCGGUUAAGUGUUCGACUUCGGCUCAGGUCAUGAUCUCAUGGUCCGUAAGUUCAAGCCCCACAUCUGACUCUGUAUUGACAGCUCAGAGCUUGGAGUCUGCUUCAGAUUCUGUGUCUUCGUCUCUCUCUGCUCCUGCCCAGCUUGCUCACUCACUCUCGCUCUCUCUCAAAAAUAACAUUAAAAAAAAAUAUUUAAGGAAUGAGCCCCCGUCUGUAUGCAAAACUCUAACCCAAAUCUCACACAUGAAGAGUCAGUGGGUCAUCAGUGAGACUUUGGUCUUUAUCUCCAGCUUCUACAUACCUUGAAACCCAAAUUCUGGACAAAGAAGUGUUUUAGGACCGGAACGCAGGGCAGCAAGGGCUCUGAAACCAAGCAGCCCUGAUCUCACCAGGUCUAGGUCUAGUGUCGGAAAUUAAUUUCACCUCUAAAACCUCACAAACCUAACUGCUCAUUAUUGAAGUGUGCCUCUUCCCAUCUACCCCAUAGAUUGGUUGGGAAAAUUAGAGAACGUUCUUGAAAGCGCUGGCCAACUCAGAAAAGGCACUCGAAAGAGGUGGCUUUGAUCAUUGUCACAAGUGAAAAAUUCUCACCCCAAGCCACUAUCUUUGUCAAAAGACCAUGAUCUAUUAUAGCUAUUAUGUUCUCCAGUCUGCACUAUCUUCUAAAAAGUUGACUAGAAACCUGGCUUCCGUUGUGAUGAUGCCCAGUCAGCCACCAACCUGUAGAAGGUGCAUUUCUUGCCACAGGUGUUGGCCAACAGAAGUGCACACGCCAGCUGCUGGGCCAACUUGCUGGAGGUGAGCAGGGGCCAAAGAUGGUUACUCAGAGCUUCAGGUUGAAGGGCUUUCUCCAUGUGCAUGACACUGAGCUAGGAGCUGGAAACCCAACUCAAAAGAGAGUCCUUGUCUUCAAAACAGCUACCAAAGGCAAUGGAAUAAGGCAGCCAAUGCCCAGCUCCAUAAGAGUACAGAAUACAGAGCUUUGAGCUUACUAAGCCCAGCAUCUGGGGGGAGCCUUGAAGAUGGGCAAAAUUUGAAGACGGGAAACUGGAAGCAAAUACGUUGCAGCGGGCGGGGGCGGGGAGUCACUUCCCUUUCACCAGCAAAAUUAUCAGAAAAAGGUAAGAGUUGACCCCCCCCCAGAGCCCCAUGGAGUCAGGCUGGCCUCUUGGGCCAGGCAUGACUCCGUGUGGGUGUUAUAUGGGGACAUGGGCACAAGCACUUCUCUGUCCCGUUCCCUCUGUGGAACUUCAGCUUUGCUUUUUUUUUCUCCUAACAACAUAAAUCUAGGGACACACUGAAAAGGAAUGUUCCUGUGCCCACUGAAGGCUAAAACUAGAGCAGACAAAAAUGGAUUCAACGAUGCUUUAGCAAUGUGUAUGCAGUCAGCUUCUAUAGCUUGAAACAUGGGGGCACAGAAUCUCGAAAUUCUGCCUCCUAAGCUACUGACUUAGGAACAGACCUCAGAUAAUCUCCUCCACUGCCAUAGGCAGAAUCUGCAGGAGAAGUCAUUCCAGAAAGUUCCUCCGAGCUUGAACAUCUGUGGCUCUCAGAGAUUUCAUUCCUGGCCCAGACUUCCUGUCUCUGCCAACCACUAUGAUUAAAAAUGCAUCCAAAGUAAACCUCAGACAACUGAACCUUCCUCAUCAACGUGGGGGGCACUUGGUGCUAGAGGGUGGUCACCCCAAGUCAUUUGUAAACGUUGCCCCAGGUGCUCAGCAGCUGGCUGGACUGGCUCAUGAAAUUUUAUCCCAGCUCCCAGCACACCAAGAAGUAACCCAGGGAAGCCAACAACCCCAUCCCACCUGUGGAAAUUAAUGGCGCCAGCUCAGCAUGUUGGCAGAGAAAAGAAAUUUACACAGCAAACAAACCUGCUGAAAAAAUUGGAAAUAUUUGCUUAACAGGAGCACAUUGAUUAAAGUCACUCCAAGAUCAAAUUACUCUCCCAGCCCCGAGCGAUUUCACCCCGGAGGGCAGCAGACUUGUAUUGGCAGAGUAUUGAUGAAAAGCUCUCUCUAUGUCUAGAUGCGCCAUAUUAAGGGCGUUAAUCUCAGAAGUGGCCCAUAAUUUUACUCCUACACUCUUCAUUUGGAAGAGUUUAAUUCCAAUACAAACAGUAAUAAGGAAAUAAAACCAUGGAUGUAUGUCUUUCCAAUACCCGUCUUUGGUAAGAAUCUUUCAUCUUUAUGGUCAAUUAAAGCUCAUCUUAAACAUAAAGUUAAGCUCGUUUCAAACAGUCUUCGAAGGUUAUUUGGGCUUUCUGAAAUCCUCUACAAUUUAAAGGAAACUAAAAAGCAGAGCCAAAGCCACUUCUUAACUACAAAGGCAAACAAGUCAUCAAAUAAAUGUUUAACAGGAGCGUCAUCACAUCACCUAUAUGGACAGCAUAUUUGUAUACGAGGAGGACAUACAUAAGGAGGGAGACAUAUCAGAGAAAUUAGCCGUUCCAAGAAAGGUCCCUCACCUGGUACCUGAAGAGAAGGGCAUUUGAGGGACAGGCCAAGGUGGGCAAGCUACAUAGGGUAGUUUAUCGGCUGUUUGAAGAGGCUGGUUGGGUCUCUAGGCCAGUGCAGCUAGCCAGCAGAGAAACCAGUUCCCUAUGGCCACCCUGAAAAUAAUUCAUAUUCCAUUUGCCACAGCACUGAGUAGGGGCAGCCUGGGCUUUGUGUGCCUCUGCUCCCUGAGAUCAGCCAUGAUGAAGCAAGAACAUCUCACACCCUGGCUCAGGUGGCUUCUCUUGUGACCCUUCGAGAGAUGAAAGAGCCCGUGCCUCACGCUAGAAAAGGACACUUCAGUGCAUGUCUUCUUGGCCCAGGUGCCUAAAUAUGCAAUAGCACCAAGGCCCAAGGACCUAAAGGUAGCAAGAAAAAAAAGCAAGACGCCUUGGCACCGACUGACUACGCAUGCCUGGACCUCCUAGCUUCUGCUGCCCUGUCUCCAGCCAGUAGCACUCCGGGCUGCCCACCCCUCCCACGCAGGGUGUUUGGACAAUGCUGAGCUCGGGCCUGGAAUCACCCUCCCUUCUUCACUCCCAAGUGUCCAUCUCCAAGCCAUAGGAACAUGCAACUCUCCCCCCAUUCAGGCCCCCCGUCUCCAGCCGAGGACAGUCUGCUCUGGCAGACUAGACGCCCAAGUUACAAUGUCAGCGAAUGUUCCAAGAAGUUCCCCUGGUGGACAAAGGAUGAGCUCCCUGCACCCUGCUGGAAAUCAGAGAAUCCACGCUUCCCACCCAGCCACCUGCCUCUGAAGAGGAUGCAGAGCCACCUUGCAGGAGAUCCCCGUCGUUUGAUUGUGAUGUGCGGUGAGCAGCCAGAUGUCACUCUGAAGAGUAAAUUUUUUGGCUGAGGAGAAAAUGCAUGUUCUACUUCCUGAUAAUUGAUUUGCAAGGUUCCACUUUCAGUAGCAAAUUGCUUCUGCUGCCCAGGUAUUUCAUAUCUCAUACGAGCACUUAGAAAACUCAAUAUUCCUUAUGCUGACCAAGAAACGACAAGAAUUGUAGUUUAAAUUUUGGAUCAUUUCUCUACUUUUAAAUACACAUCGUUCUAAGUGGUGCUGGUUACAGACAGAUCAGGGUAGUUUAAAAAACUAAUAAUGUUUAAUAGUGUUUUUUAAGUGGCCUUUAAACCCUAAGAAAAGGCCCCGCACGGAGCGCCUGGGAGGCUCAGUCGGUUAAGCGUCUGACUUUGGCCCCGGGUCAUGAUCCCACGCAGGGUUCAAGCCCCGCGUCAGGCUCUGCGCUGACGGCUCGGAGCCUGGAGCCUGCUUCCGAUUCUGUGUCUUCCUCUCUCUCUGCCCCUCCCCUGCUUGCACUCUGUCUCUCUGUGUCCCCAAAAUAAAUAUUUUUUUUUUAAUUUAAAAAAAAGAAAAGAAAAGGCUCAGCGCUCCCCAGCCAUGUAAUCAGUCCUGAUAAUAGCAGCCCUGAGCCAGGAAUUCACGGGCGCUGAAGGACUCUCGUUUACACCCGAGGAAACAGGCUGGGGUUUGCUCAGCCGUCGAUGAGGGAACCGGGGCAGGAAGCCGGGCUGCUCAGUACCCAGACCAAAAGAGAAAGAGCAGGGGACCUGGGUCAAGCUUCCAGGCCUUCAAAUCCCAGCUCUGCCCAAAUGUGAGCCUUCAAGGAACGCCCUGCAUUUCCCUCUGCAAGGCCUCGGUUUUCCCUCUGUAAACACAGCAGAUUGGGAGACAGACGCUCAAGUGUCUUCUCCAGCCUGAACACUCUGUGGCCUGAGGACCCCGGGUCAGGCUGACCCAGACUUGAUGCCCAGCUUGGCCGCUUAGUGGCUGUAUGGCUCUGACCCUCCCUUUCUUCCUCCUGCAUUUCUGUCUCAUCGAAUGUGAAACUCAAAUGAAAAACAGCUGUCGUUUUGAAAUGUUGUGGCCACUAAGGGAUUCCUGUGGGGGGCAUGCCUGGCAAGGGGGUAAGUGCCCCCGGAGGGCUGCUUUCACUAAUCAUCCCCUGGGAAAUGAGUUGAGCCUGCAAAGUUCCUCUGUCAUUCUAACCGAACUACCCAGGCCUUGUGCUCCCUUUGAGAGUUUACCUCUCAAUUAUCCAGAAUUACUCUUUUUUUUUUAAUAUGAAGUUUAUUGUCAAGUUGGUUUCCAUACAACCCCCAGUGCUCAUCCUAACAGGUGCCCUCCUCAAUGCCCAUCACCCACUUUCCCCUCUCCCUUCCACCCCCCAUCAACCCUCAGUUUAUUAUCAAUUUUUUAAGAGUCUCUUAUGGUUUGGCUCAGCUCCCUCUCUUUUUUUUCCUCCCCUCCCCCAUGGUCUUCUGUUAAGUUUCUCAGGAUCCACAUAAGAGUGAAAACAUAUGGUAUCUGUCUUUCUCUGUAUGACUUAUUUCACUUAGCAUCACACUCUCCAGGUCCAUCCACGUUGCUACAAAAGGCCAUAUUUCAUUCUUUCUCAUUGCCAUGUAGUACUCAAUUGUGUAUAUAAACCACAUCUUCUUUAUCCACUCAUCAGUUGAUGGGCAUUUAGGCCCUUUCCAUAAUUUGGCUAUUGUUGAAAGUGCUGCUAUCAACAUUGGGGUACAAGUGCCCCUAUGCAUCAGCACUCCUGGAUCCCUUGGGUAAAUUCCUAGCAGUGCUAUUGCUGGGUCAUAGGGUAGGUCUAUUUUUAAUUUUCUGAGGAACCUCCACACUGUUCUCCAGAGCAGCUGCACCAGUUUGCAUUCCCACCUACAGUGCAAGAGGGUUCCCGUUUCUCCACAUCCUCUCCAGCAUCUAUAGUCUCCUGAUUUGUUCAUUUUGGCCACUCUGACUGGCGUGAGGUGGUAUCUGAGUGUGGUUUUGAUUUGUAUUUCCCUGAUGAGGAGCGACAUUGAGCAUCUUUUCAUGUGCCUGUUGGCCAUCCGGAUGUCUUCUUUAGAGAAGUGCCUAUUCCAGAAUUACUCUUGACCGCUCUUCAGUAACUGCCCUGGGCACCACAUGAAACCUUCCACACAGGACCCGCACUCCUGAUGGGUGGGGUCAGGGCAAUCCUGACUUCCAAGGGCAAUCCUGCUGUCUGGGGACCACUGCCCCAGAACAGACCAGCCAUGGGCUGCCCCCACGCCUGCAGGUGCCCUGCUGCUGCUCAGACGGGCUGUCUCCCCCUCCUUCCCUUUUGCUUUCUCCCUCCACUUGCCCCAACCCUUCACUUUUAUCCACUUUACACCUCAUUUUCUUCCUGGCCCUUCCUUUUGUCCCCUUUUCCUAUGAAAGGCCUCACUGUGCUCCCAGGACUUGAACUUAGCCUUUCGAUGACACAAAUCCCAACUCUUCCGGGUAAAUAUUUCACUGCAACCUACAAAGGAUCACACUCCAACACAGACUAUCACGGCCCGUGUCUCCUCCAAAUGUACCUCAGUUCUUUCAAUAGGAUCCGGCCAAAACCAUCCCACAAAGACUGAAGAAAAGGCCAUGAGGUCCUGAAUGGGGACAGGGCGAGAAUAACACCAGACCCUAGAAUCCAUGCCCUCCAGAGUUGAUAGGAAAUAUAAAACUACUUGAGCCAGCAUCUCAUCUGACAAUUGGGACCCUCCUACCAUAGCUCCACUACGUGGUCCCCAUGUCAUUUUUGUUCACAUCCAAUAAGGAAACGUUUGCCUCUUGAUGUUAGCCUUGUCAUCUGUAGAGAGCUCUGAUCAUCCAAAUCCCUUCCUUAGACCAUCUCCCUGUGGUUCCUUCCUCUGUAGCUGGUUUUCUGGAUGAGGGGAUCCCAACGCGUCUCCAUGGGGACCUGUGCCCUCUUCAUGUCAGCCCUUCACAUGGAUGCCAUGCUUCUCACUCACGGGAAUCACCCCACUUGUCCCUUGAUGCUUCGUGACCAUUGCUGCCUUCAUGCAGCUGGACAAGAAGUCUGGAGAUAGAUCUCAGCCUAGGUCCAAAGUAAGGCAAUUGCAUUGAGAGAAGUGUCUGAUUCAGGGAAGGGGGUAGAACAAGUCUUAUCGGGGAAGUGCUCUUUAAGGCUCAAAUACCCCCAAGAUAUUAAGACAUCACACCCACCAAAAGAGAGCUGUGAAAUUGCAGUAAAAAAAAAAAAAAUUCUGUUCACUCAAUCCCGGAAGCCUUCUCCUUAGGAGAGGAAACAUCCCAGGGUUACAAUGCCCAGAGUCCCAAGAAAGCAGUAGGACACUCCAGGAGUGUUUGUUUUAGUAACUUUUCCUCAGUGCUCGUCCCUCCCUCUCUCCACCUAUUUCUCUUGCGCUCAUGCACAGAAAGGGUAAUCUAUCACUUCCAACACGUAGGACCCAGAUGCUAGGCUGCUGCCAGCAAAUAGGGAAGAGGAAGGUAGGGGUAUCAGGGAUUCCUUAUCAUAGAAGGUGAGCUUCAGCAGGUAUGGUCUAAAACAAAGGCAAGAGCCACUCUCUUGUAACUUUAGUUGGCCAAUAUCCCCAUCUGUUACCAUGAUUGCUAUCUGAUACUGUUUAUGUGCAGUACAUAGGGAAUAGAGAGAAACAGAGUCAUACAGACCCACAGACACAAACAGAAGAACAUGUACACACACACACACACACACACACACACACACCUUUGCUCUAUUCCAGGCUUAGCAAAGGAAAGAGAAGAUGAUGCCUUAAGCCACCACUUCACAACCUCAGCCCUCUAUUCUGGGCUUUGAAAGUGUCACACAUGUCCCUGCAAGGGGACGUCACUGUCCUCAUUUAACAAAUAGGAAAACUGAGGCUCAGAAAAGUUAAGUAACACAAGCUCUACAGCUGGAUUGCUUAGAGCCGAUAUUCAGAUCCAUAUCUGUCACAUCCUCCCGAGCCUGGGCCUCGGCACUCGCCAUUUCUCUUGAUGCAGGCCACAAAUCACCGUCACUUGAAGACGAGCCCAGCACAACCCCUAAUUCCGUGCUUCAAUACGUUCAGUGAUUUCUGCUGAUAAAUAACCACUGUCCCCGCCGAGCAAAAAAGGCACACGCAAAGGAAACAGAGAUGAGCAGUCAGCAGGAGUUGCUCUGGUCCCGUUCGUCACAGCACCAACUAUUUUAGAAUCACUGUAAUAGCACACGAUAUGCAACUCUUCCUUUUUGUCUCAGAGUUUUCUGUUUGGGCAGGACCCCGAGGGGCCUGAAAAGCUGAAAACAGCAGUGACGCUGGGCGCCCCCAUCACGAAGUCAUGUGGUGGACAUAGCAGUCUGUGGGUGCAGGAGGCAGAAUGCCACCUCUGCCUGCAAGGGCCGGUCACCCACCUCCUUCCUUCAAAAGGUGGCAAGAGAGAGAAAGUUUCUUCAGAGGAGUUGAGCUGGGCUGUAGGGAUUCCCACACACCUCCACUGUAUGUCCUCCCUGCCUGGUGGCCCAGCACUGGACCAAGGUUUACUUCCACAGGUAGCUGGCAAAGGUAAGUGGGGUUUUGUGGUUGCUGUUUGCGGGGAAGAGCCAGCCAAAGGUCCCAUCCAAGAGGAUCCUCAAGAUAUUAAUUAUUCUAGCUUCAUCUUAAAUCUUUGUAUCCAGUGAAUAUCCUCCCCAGUUUGUGCUUCUUCAGGGAGGCCUUGGCGGUCCCUUGAUCUUCUAUUGAAAACUUCAGUUUGUGAUACACCAAUGGAAAUUCCAUUUGGAAUUGUUAUAGAUCAAUUUGGGGAACAUUAUCUCCCUUAUGGUAUUCAAUUAUCCUAUCCAUUAACAUGGUAUGUAUUUUCAUUUACUUAGGUAUUUUUUAAAGACCUAACAAAAUUGAUAAACCCCUAGCCAGAUUUAUCAAAAAGAAAAAGGAAAGGACCCAAAUAAAUCAGGUCACGAAUGAAAGAGGAGAGAUCACAACCCACACCACAGAAAUACAAGCAAUAAUAAGAGAAUAUUAUGAGCAAUCAGAUGCCAACAAAUUGCACAAUCUAAAGACCUAAAUGAACUUUUAUAUAUUUCAUCUGCAAGAGUCUUACAUAUCUGGUUUUAGAUUUAUCUCCCAGGUACCGUAUUUCUAUUUGUUUUAAAUGCUAUCACAUAUUCUGAUGGCUACCUAGAAAUGCAACUUAAAUUGUGUUCAUUUUAUAUUCACAGAAACUAUUAAUAAUUUUAAUAAUUUGCCUGUAGAUCUUUUAGGCUUUCUGUAUAGAAUUUCAUGUCUAAGUAAUAACGUUCUUCCUUCAUUUCAUUUAAUUUGUUGCUUUGUCUAGGAUUGCAGUACAAAGUUUAAAAGAUGCAGCUUGAGUAGGCAUCCUUGUUCUGCUUCUUAUUUUAAAGUGUUUCUAAAGGUUCAUCAUUAAGUAUGAGACUUGCCAUGGAUUAUUUAGGGAAGUGCCUUUAUCAGAUUUUAAAAGUUCUCCUACUUCACUGCGAAUAUUUACCAUGAAUAAAUGCUAAAUUGUAUUGAAUAACUCCUCUAUAUCAAUUGCAAAGUGUGUAUGCUUUUUCUUCCUUAAUUUCUGUAAUCUAAUGAACACCAUUAAUUUCCCAUCUAACUUAAUCUUACAUUCUGGGUUUACUCUAGUAAAACCUUUUCACUGUAAAGCAUAUUCUGCCUGACAUGAAUAUAGCUCCGUGAAUGAGCUAUUUGAAUGAGCCUUUACAGACUAUUUGCUAAUAAAUCUUUUCAUGUUUA